ACUCAAAGGAAUAGACGGGGGCCCGCACAAGCGGUGGAGCAUGUUGUUUAAUACGUCACUAACCGUAGAACCUUACCAGGGUUUGACAUCCCGCGCCAUCUCAUGAAAGUGGGUUUCCCCUUACGGGGACGCGGAGACAGGUGUUGCAUGGCUGUCGUCAGCUCGUGUCGUGAGAUGUUGGGUUAAGUCCCGCAACGAGCGCAACCCUCAUCCCAUGUUGCCAGCGAGUAAAGUCGGGAACUCUUGGGAAACUGCCGAUGCAAGUCGGAGGAAGGUGAGGAUGACGUCAAGUCAGCAUGGCCCUUACACCCUGGGCUACAAACAUGCUACAAUGGACGGUAGACAGACGGACCCGAGCUCGUGAGAGGGAGGCAAUCCGAAAAAUCCGUUCUCAGUUCGGAUCGCAGGCUGCAACUCGCCUGCGUGAAGCCGGAAUCGCUAGUAACCGCAGGUCAGCUAAACUGCGGUGAAUACGUUCCCGGGCCUUGCACACACCGCCCGU
rnacentral:rRNA from 1 species